AAGAACAGCUAUUAGAACAAGAUGGUGCAUCACUGUUAUAAUUCCAGGUAAGAUGAUUCAAGUCGUCUAUUGUGAUGCCCACAGAAAACAUUCUGAUGUGAUGGAGAAGCUGCAAGGAUCACUUUUCUUCCUCCAUCUCAAAUGGGAUGAAAAGAGUAUGUUCGGGACUGAGACCCAGAUCUUUGAUCCCCAGCCUUGGACUACUGAUGAUCAUUUACCCACAGAGAUUUCUGUUUCCUGCAUUAUAUCAAUAGUGGCUCUUCUUUCUGGGAUACAGAGUCACAGAAUCAGUCAAACCCUGACAUAUGUUGUUUUAUGUGUCUAUACAUCUAGGAGCCCCAAGUGAGAGGAAACAUGCAACAUUUAUCUUUAUGAGUUGCAUUUAAUUUGUCUAAUAUGGCUAUCUUUGGUUGUGCCAAUUUGCUUACAAAUCACAUAACUUCAUUUUUUUCUCUUGGCUUAAAAAUUCCAAAAUAUAGGGGUAAUGGGGGAAGGAUUGUGGGAGGGGGAGAUUGGGAGGAGAACAGUGAGUAGGAUGCAAAGUGAAUAAGUAAAAAAUAAAUUAUAUAUAUAUAUGCGCAGAAGUAUUAUAGAUGGGUCUUGGUAGAUUGUAUUUUAGUAUUUAAAAGAGCCGUAGGACUGAUUUCCAAAGUGACCUGACUCAGUCACAUCCCUACUAGUCUUGACAUUUGCUUGUCAAGGUGAACCUUUGACAGCAUUUGUCAUUGUUUUCUUUUAAGAUUUUAUCUGAUAUUUUAUUAUGAAAUAGUUGCUUCCUUCCAUUCUUUUACAAACAUUUUAUUAAUUCUCUGGAUAUUCAUUCAUUAUGAUAUGAUCAUACUCAUCCCUCCCCCAGCACUUCUUCAUUGGUUUUCUUUGAGAAGGACAUAUUCCCACUACAUUCUGUAAGAUUAUCAAAAGGCGAAAUACUCUGAAAUUUCUUACUCAGUCACCAUUUAUUAGUGGUUGAUGUGAACUUGGCAUUUUUUAUGGAUUAAAAUAAGGAUACGUAUGUGCAAAUUCA